rnacentral:rRNA from 1 species
UACGGGGGGGGCAAGCGUUGUUCGGAAUUACUGGGCGUAAAGGGUUUGUAGGUGGCUUGUUAAGUCAGACGUGAAAUCCCUCAGCUUAACUGGGGAACUGCGUCUGAUACUGGCGAGCUUGAGUGCAGGAGAGGAACGCGGAAUUCCAGGUGUAGCGGUGAAAUGCGCAGAUAUCAGGAGGAACACCGGUGGCGAAGGCGGGUCUCUGGGCCGAUACUGACGCUGAGGAGCGAAAGCGUGGGGAGCGAACGGG